GACGAGGUGGCCGAGCGGUUAAGGCGUUGGACUGCUAAUCCAAUGGGUUCUACCCGCGUGGGUUCGAAUCCCAUCCUCGUCG
rnacentral:tRNA from 1 species